UACGUAGGGACCAAGCGUUGUUCGGAUUUACUGGGCGUAAAGGGCGCGUAGGCGGCGUGUUAAGUCACUUGUGAAAUCUCUAAGCUUAACUUAGAACGGUCAAGUGAUACUGAUGUGCUAGAGUGCAGAAGGGGCAACCGGAAUUCUUGGUGUAGCGGUGAAAUGCGCAGAUAUCAGGAGGAACACCGGUGGCGAAGGCGGUGGUCUGGGCCGGCACUGACGCUGAGACGCGAAAGCGUGGGGAGCGAACAGG
rnacentral:rRNA from 1 species